rnacentral:rRNA from 1 species
UACGUAGGGUCCGAGCGUUGUCCGGAAUUAUUGGGCGUAAAGAGCUCGUAGGCGGCUUGUCACGUCGGGUGUGAAAGCCCGGGGCUUAACCCCGGGUCUGCAUUCGAUACGGGCUGGCUAGAGUGUGGUAGGGGAGAUCGGAAUUCCUGGUGUAGCGGUGAAAUGCGCAGAUAUCAGGAGGAACACCGGUGGCGAAGGCGGAUCUCUGGGCCAUUACUGACGCUGAGGAGCGAAAGCGUGGGGAGCGAACAGG